UGUGUAUCAGUGGGGCCAUAUACUCAUACUUAUAUCUCCAAAAUAAAAGUUGGUACUCUUGGAUAACCAAUGGCCUUAUUAGUGGUGUUUAUGCAUUUGGAUUUCUGUCGAUGGUUCCUCAGUUGU